rnacentral:rRNA from 1 species
CCCUUAGAUGUUCUGGGCUGCACGCGCGCUACACUGAAGCGUUCAACGAGUAUUCACCUUGCCCGGGAGGGUUGGGUAAUCUUUUGAAAACGCGUCGUGAUGGGGAUAGAUUAUUGCAAUUAUUAAUCUUCAACGAGGAAUGCCUAGUAAGCGCAAGUCAUCAGCUUGCGUUGAUUACGUCCCUGCCCUUUGUACACACCGCCCGUCGCUCCUACCGAUUGAAUGGUCCGGUGAAGCGUUCGGACCGUGGCCUUUGGACGGUUCGCCGUCUGUUGGCUGCGGGAAGUUCGUUAAACCUUAUCAUUUAGAGGAAGGAGAAGUCGUAACA